GUUAAUGAUUAGUGUUAAUAGUUAGUGUGCCAUAAGGCAAAUUUAGCGCUAUGUUAAGCAAUCGUAAUUGGACUUAUGUAGAAGUCACAACUAUCUGAGUAAGGUCAAUAAUAAUGUAGGCAACAACACAAGUUAGAAGUCUUGAUUAGUGAACCAAGUUCCAACAACUUGCCAUGCCAAAAAGAAGAAGAGAAUUGAUCUUGUAUUGGUUUAAGUCUUGUGCAUGAUUUAGGAAACAACCUAUCCUUAAUGCAAAGCCAUUCACUUGAUCAAUUGAUCAAGAUGAAUUAGAUUUGAGUCAAGGAAGAUUAAGUCUCCCUAAUCAAUGCUAACUUAUCAAACUUCAACUCAUUGAUCAAAAAGAAAAAGAAGAAAAAGAAGAAAGAGAUGAAUAAUGGAAAAGGAAAAUGGAAAGAAUAAAGUGCAUUA
rnacentral:lncRNA from 1 species